GUUUCAAUCCCUCAUAGGUAGAUACAAAC
rnacentral:other from 1 species